GGAGGAGGAGGAGGAGGAGGAUAUGAUCCAAGGAGACAGUUUCCUCCUGAUGGUGGUGAUGGGGGAAACUUUCCCUUACCUGGUGAGAGGGUUGAUUCAAGUAAACCCACUGGAGUGUGUCCUAUUUGUGGUGUGGGUAACUUUGCUACUCAGACUGAUCUGGAGUUGCACGCUGCAAAAUGUGACAAAUUUGAUUGACAAAAUAAAGACUUAUUACUAACUGAUGAUACUGUAGCUAUACAUUUAGCUUAGAAAGAUUUUUCAUUUGAUGAAAUAAUAGUUAAUAAUUUGUGAAUUAUGAAUAAGUAAUGAUAAACUUGGCCACAGU